CUCACAAUGCUCACAUCCCAGCUUUGGAGAGUCCGCUCCUCACAACUCACAAACAGUUGCGGUCUGGCAGAAGAAGGGUGAAAGCUCCCCCUCCUCCCUACACCCUCCUCCCUCCCCAAUUUCUCUUUGGGUGGGAAAAAGAAAUCNNNNNNNNNNNNNNNNNNNNNNNNNNNNNNNNNNNNNNNNNNNNNNNNNNNNNNNNNNNNNNNNNNNNNNNNNNNNNNNNNNNNNNNNNNNNNNNNNNNNUUAUAUCUAAGUUUUUUAAAUCCUUCUACAUAUUUUAUAAUUAUUUUUAAAAACAACCUUUAGAAAAUAAGUGAAAUAGUGAAAAAUAUAAAACAAAUUUUUUAUUAUCUAAUGUGUUUUUUUUUUAGAAGACAAAAAGCUAUUAUUAAAAACAAUUUCCCUCCUCCCUCCCCAAUUUCUCUUUGGGUGGAAAAAGAAAUCACAUCUCAUCACUACACUGUCUGUGAAUUGUUGUGGGUUGUGGAAUUUCUCCCAAGGGAAUGGAGAGCUUCGUCCUCUACACUUCAUCUUCCUCCUUCUCACCCUCCUCUCGCCUUUCUUUACUCCGCAGAUCACCGCCCUCCCUCAAAUCUCCCCCCUCCAUUUUCCCCUCCUCCGCCUCUCCUCGCCGGCUUUCCAACCUCCGAUCACCUCCCUCGCGCCUUCUCCCCCCCCUCGCCCUCUUCAAAUCAAAACCGUCCCCAAAACCCCGCACUUUCCUCCACCCAAUCCAAGCAUCCCCCUCGCCACCCCCACCACCGGUAGAGGAAUCCCCUAAGGGCGCCAAACUUAUUCCCUUUAUAAUCUCAAUAUCCAUUGGCUUGAUUGUCCGAUUUUUGGUGCCGAAACCCGUGCAAGUGUCGAUGCAAGCCUGGCAACUUCUGGCCAUAUUUCUCUCAACAGUCGCCGGACUGGUAUUGAAUCCAUUGCCGGUGGGUGCCUGGGCUUUUCUCGGCCUCACUACCUCAAUUCUCACCAAUACGCUGUCGUUUUCCACGGCUUUCGGGGCGUUCACCAACGAGGUGAUUUGGUUGAUCGUGAUUUCGUUUUUCUUCGCCCGUGGGUUCGUGAAAACGGGCUUGGGCGAUCGAGUUGCCAACUACUUUGUGAAGUGGCUGGGGAAGAGUACUCUGGGGUUGUCAUAUGGGUUAACUUUCAGUGAGAUUCUCAUUGCUCCUGCAAUGCCCUCCACCACCGCCAGAGCUGGUGGGAUUUACUUGCCCAUUAUCAAGUCCUUGUCGCUUUCCGUUGGGAGUAAACCGGGCGAUCCAUCUGCCAGGAAACUCGGCGCUUAUCUCGUUCAGUCCCAAUUUCAGGUUUGCUUUUCCAUUCCCUUUUCAUUUGGUCAUUUAUAUGUUUGGUUGUUGAGAAAAUAUCAGAUAAUAAUAUUAGAUUUUCAUUGUUUCAAUGCCGGGAGAGCUUAAUUCAACCAUAUGGCUUGGUGGUUAGUGAUUAGUGGAGUUAAGGGCACACUGUGGACUUCAAAAUUAAUUUGGAUGUUGUUUUUGGCUGAUUCUUUUAAAUGCACAUUCAUUGCUUAUCUAAUGUAAGUCCUAAUUGGUAUUUUGGUUAGUCCAUGCUUGACAAUUUAUCCCCAUGAGAGCCUUUCCCAUUUGAUUAAAUUAAUUUCCUACUGUACCCUGAAGAAAAUAGAAUAGUUUUGUUUCGAUUUAACACUCUUAAGCAAAGUGUUUGUGUACAAAGAAGUGGAAAUGGUGCAGGAAAUAUGUGUGGAAGUACAUUUCUUUGAUAUUUGGAGAAAAGAAUUGUUUAGAAACGUCCCUGCUUCUGAAAACAUUGUAAUGUCCAAUUGUUUUCAUUCGCAAUUCCUUUUUUUUUUGGGGGGGUGGGAGGGUUAAGGAGAACAUGAAAAGGAUCAUUUUCUAAAAUUUUCUUUUAUUCUCAAAAUUCUAAGAAUUUUCAAAAUUUUUAGAAAUGUAUUCUUGAAGAAUGUAGCCAAUGGUGACCUAAUUUCAUGAUUUGAUUUCCAAAGUGAAGCUUCUGUAUUUCAUGGUAAUCGGUAUACCCUGGGAACCUUAUUGAUAGGACAAUCAAUCCUGUUGAUGCCUGAUUGUUUGUAAUUCUCAGCCUGAAUUCCCUAGUAAUUAAUGGCUCCUUAGGCAGAUAAGGUUCUUGAUUGGAUUUUUGUUUGCAUAUGUGUGUUUUAGCAUGCAAGUAGUCUGAAGCCUCAUAUUGGCCAAAUUGGAAAACUUGUUCUAUUUUUGUGAAUUGAUCAACUGUCCAUGUUGUAUGAUUUUAAUAAUCUUCCUUUUUUUUUUUUCUUUUUUUUUAAAUUUUUGAAUUUAAUAUCUCAAUCUCCCAAUUAUAUUAUUUGAUAUGUUUAAUAAUAUAUAUAUAUAUAUUGUUUUUGUAUAUAUAUUUUUGGCGCCACAUGAUAACUACAUGACUAUACUCUUGUGUGCAUGAUUGACAGUCUGCUGGUAACUCUAGUGCUCUUUUCCUGACUGCUGCAGCUCAAAACAUGCUAUGCCUCAAACUAGCUGAGGAAGUUGGGGUCAUUGUUUCAAGCCCAUGGGUUUCUUGGUUCAGGGCUGCUAGUGUACCAGCACUGGUUUCUCUUCUACUCUCCCCAUUUAUCUUAUAUAAUCUAUAUCCUCCUGAGAUCAAAGACACACCUGAUGCCCCUGCCAUGGCUGCUAAAAGGCUGGAGCAUAUGGGUUCUGUCACAAGAGAUGAGUGGGUGAUGAUUGGCACAAUGAUUCUUGCAGUAUCUUUAUGGGUCUUUGGGUAAGAAGUAUCUCUUACUUUGCAUAAUUAUUAUAAAAUCUUCUAGAAUUUUACUUGUGAAAAAUCUGUAAGGUAUUGUGAUAACAUGGGCAAAGAUACCUUUCUCUUGUCAUUAGUUAAAAACCUCACUAUCUCAUAAGUUCUUGGGUCCACUAAUCCUUUCUCUUGGAAUAUAAACUUCCAUCGCAAUAUUUCGGAUCUUGAGAUAGAAGAUCUUGAAAGACUUAUGUCCUCUCUUUCACACUUGCACUUAUCUCCAUUUGGUCCUGACUCGAGAGCUAGUCCCUAUCUUCUUCAGGUUUGUUCGUAGUAAAGUCGUUCUUUUCAUUCCUAUCCAACCAUAUUGAUCUAACUCCAUCACUCCCUAUUGAUUUUGUUUGGAAAAUGCAAGUCUCAUUUAAGGUCAAAUCCUUUACUUGGUUAGUAGCACUUGAGAAGGUAAACACCAAUGACAUGCUACAAUUGAGAAGAUCCUACAAAGCCCUUGGUUCUAAUGUUUGUUUGUUGUGUUGGAGAGUGGUGAAACAGUAGAUCAUAUCUUCUUACAUUGUUCAUUGAGUUUGGGGCUUUGGCAUAAAUUAUUCUAUUUGAUUCAUAUGAAUUGGGUUCCUCCUAGGAAUAUAUGUGACAUGAUGAUUAUUUUAUAUAAAGGAUUGGGAAGUACUAGCAGUAGCAAGGUGUUGUGGCAGUUUGGUUGUCUUGUUUUGAUGUGGUUCAUGUGGUGGGAAAGAAAUGCUAGGAUUUUUUAGGACAAGACAAGAACUUCAGAGGGUUUUUGGGACAUAAUUCAUUUCUUAGCCUCCUUUUGGGCCUCUUGUACCACAACUUUUCAUAGUGUUCCCCUUGAUUUUAUCCAACUUGAUUGGGUGUUGGUGUGCAGUUCCAAGGGUGUGGCCUAGCAAGGAUAGAUUAUUUUUAUAUAUUCCCACAUGGGACAUAGUUUGUGGAACCUCAUAUUUGUAUAGAUUUUUGAACUUUGAGGUUUUUUGCUUUCUUUUUGUGUACUUUUUGGAGGAUCUCUCAUCCUUCUUUAUACUUAUUUUUACUCGCUUUAAUAUACUAUACUGUUGUUUCUCAUAAAUAAAAAAAAAUACCAAAACGAGAUUAGAGUUCACUAAUGAAGCUAGUUGUUCAAUGUUUUCAGUCAAUAUUGUCAACAUUCUUCCCAAACUAUAACUCUCAAACCUAGGACCCUACUAAUCAUUCCUGUUAAUAUUAUCAACAUUUGAAAUUCUUCUCAAAUGGUGGGUCUUAACGUUCAUAUUCUGUCCUUCUCAAUCCUUUUGGAGAAGUCCAUUUCUGCCCUCUUAUAACAAGGGAACCCUGCUAACAAGCCUCCUAUAAUUCUGUGCUCUUUAUAAUAAGGGAACCCUGUUAACAAAAACAUGAUUUUGUUAGUAGUGUUGUCAUGCCUUAAACCCCAGUUCUUUAGGAUUCAAGGGCAUGACUGCAUUUUACAUGUCAAGCCCAAUCUAACAAGGAAACUGUCCAACACCAAAUUGCCAGCAAUUUGUUACUAUUGAAAUCAGUUGCACUAUGGAAAUGAAACAUCCAAACAAAGAAAGAAUCCAUGAUAUAUCAAGCUAGAAAAAGCAUCAGAAUAUAAAUUGAUAACUGAUGAACAACUUGAAUGUCUUAUGUACUAAGCCAACAAAAUGUAACAACCAAAUGCUCAUUUUGUAAGAGCUUUAACUGAAAACUCCCAAUAAGCCUAUCAAACUGCCAAACAGGUCUAACUUUCUUUACUAACUUGGUCUUUGAAAUAUUUAAGAUACCUGUAAGCCUUCAUGUACAAUAGGGAAAACAUACGACAAUAAUGUAGUGCAAAUGGCUCAUAAAUUGCUGGUUCAUACCAUUUCAAAGAUUAAAUCAUAUCAGAUAUAUUGAGAGAAACAAAAGAUUCAUGUGAUUCAAAGGUUUAGAUGUUCCAAAAUAAAUUCCAGAUAAAGUGAAUAUCCAAAUAAACUGCCUUAAAUGGUUAAUGUACAAAUCAUUGGUUCCUAGGAAUCUGAAGGCUAACAUCUUUAUCUCUUGUUGGCUAGGAUCAAAAGGGUGGCUAGCCUCAAAAUGUAUGGUGAGUAGAAUGCUGCAAGUCAGAUGUACCAAACACCUUUAUUGGCUAGGUUGCAAAUCAACACAUCUCUACCAUUGGGGAGAGGUUUGAUGACUUAUCUCUUGUCAAUUGGAGUGAAAAAUGUUUAGAUACACAUGAGGCAAAGAGUUCAGAUAAAUAUAUUUGAUAACAAAUCAUAUGGUUUCAAGUUCAAAUCAGAAUAUUUCCAAUUUUUCCAAAUGGUUCAUAAUAGUAAUUUUUUUAAGUCAAAUUUUGCCUCUCCUCCAGGUUCAUGAAAAACAUGGGUCAUAAGAUUUACUUUUCCCAACUCCAGAAAACAUAAACUAUUAGGUAACCAAUUGGAUCAUAAAACUCAAUGAGUCAUUUGUAACUUUCAUGAUGCCUAUACAAAGUAUCUUUCAAAAUGGUGAGCCUGGAUCUUUCUUGUUCUUCCGAAAAUCAAAUAAUCUGCCAGCUAGUUUCAAUCAAUAUCUGAUUCACUUUUCCUAAUUUUUCUAGUACAAAAGUUGUAUUUAGUGGCCUCAAUUUUUCUUGUUUGUCUCCUAGGUCCAUGUUUGUUUAAAUUACAUUUUCUCUUCAUUGUACCCAAUUCUCAUUUAUCUGAACUUCUAAAGGUUUUCUACAUUCUUUAAACUUUAGACCAUUCCAAAAGAUAUCCAAAGUCAUUUAUUUCAAGCUUAUGUUUAUUUUUUAACUUAGAUCUUCCCUCAAAACUAACUUGGUUGACCUAAUCUCUUGAUCCGUUGAUUCAGUCUUUGGAUAAGAUCCCACUCUAAUUAACAUGUUUCCUCAUUGUUUAUGGUGGGACCUUAGUAAGAGGAAGUUGGCCACAUGAAUGAUGAGAUGUCCUGAUUCAAGUGUAGCAGAGUGAGGUGAGAUGGGGUUUGAGGGAAUGAUAGACUCUUUGUGAGCUUUGAAAUGUAGAGGUUCGACUUUUGGAGGGAAAAUUGUCAAUUCCUUUUACAUGGUGACUCUUUAAGCUUAUACUAUAGGGGGCUUUGUGGAGAAAAAUUGACUGAGUGAUAAAUUACUAUCAAUGAGAUAGUGGCAUGUGUACGUGGAGCAAUGAAAUGUUGUUGUAUGCAACUAGUCAACUUUUUUUGAAAAGAACGCGACAACAAUGAUAUGUUUCCUCUCAAGAGACUCCCUAGCAUAUCAAUUUGUUGUUCUAUAUAGGUGAAAUGGGCUUAGCUCAUUUCAAUUGGUCUCUUACUCUAGCAACCAAAUUAAGAACCUCAUACUAUUCCCAUAUACUUGGAGAUGUAGGUCGAAUCCAUCUCUAAGUUGCACUAAAAGUCUAAAUCCAAUUGGUAUCCCUGAGAAAACAUGUGUAUCUAGGUCCAUCCUAAUAGGCAUCUUGAAUGAAAGAGUAGGAAGUACCUGCUCCAUUGACAAUACACUUCUGCAAACCCCCUCUUGGAAGGGUGUGAAGAUAACUAUUGAAGAUACUCUUUUAGUGGGGUGAGAAGAGUCCAAUGAAACCAACCAUCUAGAGUUGGGAAAGUGACUUCUCAUAGCCUACCUUAGCAUGUUAAUAUAUGGCCUCAACUUCAUUCACCCUAUAGCAUGAAUGCCCCUAUGUUAAAAUGGUAGGUGUCCUCUCCAUGCUGUUAAAAAUAGUAGGAACUGCCCCUGACAGGCUAGUGCCAAGCGGUUGCAACAUGGGGUUGGUGAUAAUCAUCUCCUGACAGCAUUAGGAGUGGGUGGCUUGACCAUUGGCUCGUCCCACUAAUGAUGUGACUUCUAUGAGUUGCCAAAUUUUGUGUCAUGAUGACCAUAGCUCCAUGUGUCUGCACAUAGAUUGUUAUCAAAACUUUUUAAUAUUCUUCAACUGCUUCUAGAGUUUAUUUUCCCCAAUCAUAGUUUAGAUUCCUUAUUCUAGGAUUUCUAUUGCAAAUAGAGGCCUAUUAGAUCACAUACCAUCAUUGUUCAAUCCAGCCGAACAGUUCUCUUGUCUUUCUAAUUCUGCUCUCCCUUUUGUCUUGUUCUUUUAUCUUUAGAACUCUACAGAUGUAUGGUGAUUUGGAAUAAACUAAAAGCUAAUAUUUAGUACUUAUGUUCUACUUAAAUGUCUAAUGCCUAUCACCAAGUCAUCUUACUUGCUUUAUGUCUGACUUAGCAAAUAUCCUAAAACACCCUCUUCUAUUAGUUAGUCUCUUUUUACUUAACCAAAUUACUAAGCUGUUGUUUGGAUACACUUCUUGUUUUUUGUUUUUAAAAACAGAAAAUUCUAGUAAUUCCUAUAUGAAAUGCAAGAACCUUGUGAGACUUACCUUAAAAAGAUAACGAUGUUUAAAAACUAUUUUAAAAUUUGAGGUAUUAAAAAAUUUUUACUACCCCAAAUUUAAAAAAAUUUGAAAGUAAUUUUUAAAGACACAAGGUACGUUCAUACUUUCAUACAAGAGUUACUAUAUUUUAUACAAAAACUACCACUAAAUUCUAUUUUUAAAGACAAAAAACAGAGUGUAUCCAGAUGAGAACUAAAUUUUUCUUUAUGUCUCACAUAAGAAUUUCAAAAAUACCAUCUCUUAUUACUUAAGUCCUCUUUUAACCUAACUUAGCCAAAUUGCUAAAUUUUUUCCCAUAACAUGAUUUAUUAUUUAAUUUAGAUUUAAACAUAAAUAAUUUGAAGGCAAAAAACUUUGUAAAUUUCUUAAAGAUUCACUUUUAGGUUUAGAGUAUUACAACUAUCUAAAAAGAAAUCCUUGGCAUUAUGAGGUUUUUCCCAUUCGCCUUCUAUAUGUUUCUACUGAUAGUUUUUCUGAUGUAUUAUUUUGAUCUAAUAAACAUGAUUAUUAAUGUCUAAAUAACCAGUUCUUUUUCCAUAAAGUAAACAACCUUUGAAUAUUGCACUCCCCUGUUAAGUGAUUCUUAUUGUUUGGAAAAAUGUUGGAUACUUUAAUUUUAGGAUCUAAUCAGUCUGGAUCAUAUUAAUCCAUUUAUAUUACAAAAAUAUCCAGUGAAUGCAUGGGUUCACUAUUUUCUCUUAAUUGAUACCUUUGACAAUAACAUGUCAGCUAUAUAUGGCCCUAAAAUUGGCUUCCCCAUUUGGCUUAAUGGGUCUUCUCCAGGCUGCAAAAUGUGAGAACACAGAUAUGUUAAUCAUCUUAACAAUGAUGCACAUGACAUUAGCUGGUGAAUUCUUGUAGCUGUCAGAACUUAGAAAGAAGCCUUCUCCCAAUGUUGCUUGCAAUCAUCCCCUGUUUCUACUUCAAGAGAACUCAAGUGCUGUUGACUAUGGCAAUCUCUGGACUAAUUAGAUACCUACUUUAUUGCGUUUUCUAUAGGAAAAUAGGGAUUUUAUGAAAAGGUGCCUAACACAUCAGAAACCUACUCUAUAUAUUCUUAUAUUGGUUGAAUUGAUUUUCUUAUUUUAUCAGUACCAGUUAUGCAUGUCUGUGUGAAGUAUGUUUAUUUGGUUUCCUCUCUGAACACAUCUAUUUAUUUAUCUGACUUGCUCUGCAUGCAGAGAGGCUCUUGGUAUAGCAAGUGUUGUUGCUGCCAUGCUUGGCUUAUCAAUAUUGCUAUUAUUGGGAGUUCUUGAAUGGGAUGAUUGUUUAAGUGAAAAGUCAGCGUGGGAUACCUUAGCUUGGUUUGCAGUUCUAGUGGGUAUGGCAGGCCAAUUAACAAACCUUGGUAUUGUAACCUGGAUGUCAAGUUGUGUGGCAAACCUCCUUCAAUCUUUCUCUUUGAGCUGGCCAGCUGCCUUCGGUGUUCUUCAGGCUUCUUACUUCUUCAUUCACUACCUAUUUGCAAGUCAAACUGGUCAUGUAGGUGCAUUGUACUCUGCUUUUCUCGCUAUGCACGUGGCAGCUGGGGUGCCUGGUGUGCUGGCAGCAUUGACUUUAGCUUACAAUACCAAUCUUUUUGGUGCACUAACACAUUACAGCAGUGGUCAGGCUGCUGUCUACUAUGGAGGUCAGCCUCUUUCCUCACUUGUUACAUGAAAAGUAUUCUUUCUACCCUUUUGGAUCUCUUUAUGCUUAAGAACACACAAUUUCUCUUCGUUUUAAACCACUCUUUCUGUUGAUAAUCAGUUGUUUAUAAGAGGGAAGAAUGAUUCUAUGAGCAACCAAAAAGAAACCUGGUUUUAAAUUUAUGCACAAAAUAUAACAAAGAUUUUAGAAGUCAUUUGCAUUUCCAGGUUCGUUCAGGCCUGUUUUGGAGUGAUUCUAGUAACAUUACUUUAGUUUAAAGCGUUUUUGUUAGCAAUACUUUUAUUAAACAUACUUUCUAUGGAGAAUCAAUUAGGGUUUGGAUACAAACCAAAAAAGUACUUUUAAUAGUGUUUUUGGUAAUAUAUUACGUGAUUUCUGAAACAAGCACCUACCAAGUGCUACACAGGAUCAUUUCAAGUAAUUCUCUAUUUUUUUAGAACACAUUUUUAAAAGUUCACCAAACCUUUAAGUUUUACAAGUGUUUCAAGUAUUGAGAUGAAUCAUUCUCAAAUGGGUAUUUAGUUAUAUGCUAUUAUAGGGAUUUAUAAGAGUUUAUUAUUAACUUUUUUCUCUUUUUUUUUUUCCUAAUUUUGAACAGCUGGGUACGUGGACCUUCCAGAUGUAUUCAAAGUAGGCUUUAUGAUGGCCUUGAGUAAUGCUGUGAUUUGGGUAGUAGUUGGGUCAUUCUGGUGGAAGUUCUUGGGCCUCUAUUGAGUUUCACAUUCUUAGGUAAUUCUUACAAUUUUCCUGUUAUAUUUUGUCCGCCUGAUCCAGGACAUGGUUGAGAGCAUCUCAUUUUUCCUUCAGGAAAUCUUCCAAUUUUAUGGCUUUUGGCUCCUUCAUAGUAAAUAACUAGUGUUACCAUGCUCAAUCGAAUUCCAAAUAAUUCUCUCUUUAUGGAAGGCAAAGUUGGAAAAUGAAGUGUACAACACUCUAUGUCGUCCCUAAUUAUCGUGGGCUGCACUGUUGUGAUACACAGUGUUCAUAGAACCACUGAGCUUGAUUUUGAUUGUGGAAAGGAAAAUAAGAAGGAAAAAAAUGAAGAAAAGAAAACGAAAAUCUAAAGUAAUUAUACUCAGGGCAUGUUUGUUACCCUAUACUGUGAAUGAAAAUGAGAAAGUUAUUCCAUUCUGCAUAUUUGUCAUUGUGUUUGGAUCUUUGGUUAGAAAGGAUAUAUGAAUUUAAAAAAAAAAUCACUUUCAUGGAAAUCAAAAUUCACUCUUAUUGGGAUUUUGAUUUUUUUUAUGUGGUAUUGUUAUUCACCUUUAGUCUAUGUUUGGCUCCCGGAAAAUACCAAGUAAAGCAAAAAAAUACAAAGAAAAAUCCUUCAUGUUUGGUUGUUUGAAAAAUAUAUAUAUAUAUAUAAUUAAAACUAGUUAAAAACUUACGUAUUUUUAAAUUAUUUAAUCUUUAUAUUUGUAAGUUAAAAUAAGUAAAAUGAGUUCGGAACAACAAAUAAAAAUAAUUUAUCAAUUUUUAAUCUAUUUUUUUAUUUUCCUUCAUUUUUUCUUUAUAUUUUCUUUCCUUUAUAUUUUUCCUUAAAUUUUCUAAGAAUCAAACAUAGCCUUAUUAUUAUUAUUAUUAUUAUUAUUAUUAUUAUUAUUAUUAUUUUGAUUCCUAUUCAAAUGCAGUUUUAGAUCGGUAAAUUUUGUAUUUUCAUGGAUUUCCAAUUUGGUUCUUGAAAGGAAGGUGGAAAUGUGAGAAUAGUGAAGCAUGUAGUUGUGAUAUGAGAUAAGAAAAUGGUGGAGGGGGAAAUGCCAACUGCUCUCUCCUAACAGCCUGCAAUGGAGUUGGAUGCCUCUAAACCACACACAUGCAAGAUGGAGCAUCAUUUUUCUUAAGCAUAGAACCACAGAAUUUUUAUUAUUUUCACAAGUCAAAUAUAUAAUAAAUCAAAAAAAGCCUUAGGACAUGUUUGGUUUUUGGAAAAUUUGAGGGAAAAUGUUAAGGAAAGAAAAUAAAGAGGAAAAGUACGAGGAAAGAAAAUGUGAAGAAAAAUAAAAAAUUGAUUUAAAGUUAAUAUAUUAUUUUUAUAUAUUACUUCAAACUCAUGUUACUUAUUUUAAUUUUUCAAUAUAAAUAUUAAAUAAUUUAAAAAUACAUAAGUUUUUAAUUUAUUUUAAUUACAUUUGAUUUUAUUUUGUAUUUUUUAUGAUACAACCAAAUAAGAGAAAAUCAUUUUCCUAAAAGUUAUGUUUGAUUCUCAAAAAGUACAAAGGAAAAAAAUGAUAAGGGAAAUAGUUUUUUAUGUUUGAUUUUAUCAUGAAAAAUAUAAAAGAAAAUCAAAUAUAAUUAAAAUUUAUAUAUUUUAAAAUUAUUUAAUCUUUAUAUAAUAUAAGGAAAUAAGUAAAAUAAGUUUGAAGAAAUAUGUAAAAAUAAUUUAUUAAAUUUAAACUUAUAUUUUAUUUUUCUUCACUUUUUCUUUCUUUCUAUUUUUUUUCUUUGUUUUCUUUCCCUCAAAUUUUUCGAGAAUCAAACAUAGCCUAAUAUAUAUAUAUAUAUAUAUAUAUUUCUUAAUAUUUUCUAAAAACCAAACAUAACUUUAAUGUGUUGGAUUCCUAGUAAUUUGAAACUCAAAUAGUAAUCUAAUUAAUAUAAGAAGUUUAUGGACAAAAUUUGGUGUAAAAUAACUUUAUCGUUUUUCUUUUAGAUAGUAUCAUAGUUUUUUUUUCCUUCUUUUUUCAUAAGACAAAUAAACUCCAACAAAAAGCAAGACUUAAUGCUUUGAAUUCAUUAAUGAGUUUAGUAAUUUUUAAACAUAAUUUUAAACUCAAUUAAUGACCUAAAUAAUAUAAUAAAUUUAUGAAUAAGAUUGAUCCAAAAUAAUUCUAUUGUUUCUCUUCUACAUAAAACUUUUUUUUUCAUGAGAAAUAAACGUCAAAUUAAGUAAAAGUUAAUGAGUUGGAUUUAUAACGAGUUUAAUAAUUUUUAAAAAUAAUUUAAAACUCAAAUAAUGACCUAGAUAAUACUAUAAAUUUAUGGAUAAAAAUUGGUUCAAAAUAAUUCGAUUGUUUUUCUUUUGCAUAAAACUUUAUUUUUUUGAUUUUUUUUUUAUGAGAAAUAGACUUCAAAUUAAGUAAGAGUUGAUGAGUUGGAUUUAUAAUGAGUUUAGUAAAUUCUAAAAAUGAUUUAAAACUCAAAUACUAAGCCCAUCAAUAUCGAAAAUUUAUGUAUAAUCCAUAAUGAUUCUUUUGUUUCUGUUCUAUACAUAAUUAUUUUCUUUUAUAAAUUUUCUCAAAAUUCAUUUAGAAUUUCAUUUGUUUAUUCACAUGAUAUUUUGAUUCACAUUUGUUUUUGUUUUUACUCUAAUUGUGUCACAAGCAUCAUAAAUGCCAAUCAAAAUCACACAUUUUUAAAAUAAAAAAAAGAAAAAUUAUUGCUUUUCUAUAAUAAGAAGAGAAACAUUGUUAAUAUUCUUAAAAAUAGUUUUUAUUCCUUAGAAAAAAAUUGAAAAUUUAUGUUUCAAUUUUUUUUAAAGAAUAUUUUGAAAGUUUAUUGUGUACAGAUGUUAAUUUUUUAGAAUAAAUUUGAAGUAUUUUUAAAAGUUUUUUUUAUAAUCAAUUAAAAAUAUGAAAAAUAAUUUAAAAACUUUUAUAUUGUGUAUUAAUACAUGAUACUUUCACGAGAAAUCUGUAUUGUUUCUCUUAUUUGAUUUUUCAAAUAGAAAUUUAUCCUUAAAACAAAUUAACAUUAAGUUUAGUUUUCAAAAAAUUUGAGGGAAAAUGUGAGGAAAAGAAAAUAAAAAGGAAAAGUAGAAAGAAAGAAAAAGUGAAGGAAGAUAAAAAUAGAGUUAAAGUGGUUAAAUUAUUUUUAUUUGUUAUUUCAAACUUAUUUUAUUUGUUUUCAGUCAUCAAUAUAAAAAUUAAAUAAUUUAAAAAUACAUAAAUUUCUAACUAAUUUUAAUUAUAUUUCAUUUUCCUUGGAAUUUUCUAUAUGACAACCAAACACGAGAAAAUAAUUUUUUUUUAACAUUUUUUUUCUUUCCUUAGUACUUUCCAAAUCCAAAAAACCUAAAAGGGCAUUUUUAAGAACUGAUUUUAGAAACUACUUUUUGAAAAUAUAUAUUGGUAGUUUAUCAUAUCAUCCUUUCCUUGAAUGUGCCUUUCUACAUGAUCAACAUUGAUAUUGAAAAAGUAAUCUAUGCCCAAUUACAUAAGAGUGUUAGAAAAAGAAAUUUUUUUUUUCUCAUAUUUGAUUUUAUAAUAGAAAAUGUUAAAAAAAAAUCAAAUAUAAUUAAAAUUAUUAAUAAAUUUAUACAUUUUAAAUUAUUUAAUUUUUGUAUUGAAGAUUAAAAUAAUUGAAAAAAUUUGAAAUAUUAUAUAAAAAUAAUUUAUUGACUUUAAAUCAGUUUUUUAUUUUUUUUCACUAUUUCUUUUCUUCUACUAUUCUUUUCCAUCUAUUUUCUUUCCCUUGCAUUUUCCUUUAAACUUUUGGGGGAAUCAAACAUAGCCUAAGAAUAGUUCAGUUUUCCUUGUUUUUAAAAAAAAAUGAGAUCAUGCCAAAAUUGAUUUAUAUUGAAACUCAAUUUCUAAGUCAUUUGGUGUUGGUAAUAUUUGAAUAAGAAAGGUAUCUAAUUAUAUAAAAAAAAUUAAAAUAAAUUCUUGAUUAGAGUGGGUGUAAGAACGAGAUCUUCUUUGAUUUUGCUCCUCAUAAUGCAGAUGCUUAUGACAAUGGUGUUGCAAAAACAACCAUUAUAUUUCCACAAUCUAAAAUGUUUAAGUCCAUGUUUGGUUUUCAAAAAGUUUGAAGGAAAAUGCGAGAGAAAAAAUAUAGACGAAAAGAAAAAGUGAAAAAAAAUAAAAAAUUGAUUCAAAAUCAAUAAAUUAUUUUUAUAUACUCUUUCAAACUUUUUUCACGUAUUGAAGUCUUCUAUAUAAAGAUUAGGUCAUUUAAAAAUAUUAAAUUUUCAUAAUAAUUUUAAUUAUAUUUUAUUUUUUUUCACUUCCAUAACAAAACCAAACAUGAUAAAGUCAUUUUCUUUAAUACUUUUUUCUUUUCUUAAUACUUUUCAAGAACCAAACAUAGCCUAAAACUCGAGGCCAAUGAAAAAAAUAAAGGGUGAGAGAUGCCCUUAUAAAAAACCUUCUUACUAUUUCUUUCAAACUCUUAAAACAAUAAUCUAACUCAAGGAGAAUCUCUUUCAAGUGAUUUGAUUUUUAGAAGUUUGUUAAACAUCUAAUUUGAGUGAUGAACAAGGCUACUUGACAUUCAACGAGUCCAUUUAUAGUAUGCAAGCGAUUAGUUCUGAAUAGGUGAGGUUCAAAACUUGGUUAAAUUUCUUCGGAUCUAAAUGUAAUGGAAAUUGACAAGUAAGAAAUUCUUUCUCAUACAUGGAAAAACUUCUUUAAAAGUAUUAUAGAAAUGUUGAGGAAAAGUUGAAGGACCUUUAUUACUUUCAAGCCUUCACCAUUGCUAUAAAACUUAGGUUCCAUUUGGAUCGAUUUUUAAAAAGCCAAAAGCAGCUUUUUAAGCUCAAUUAUAUAUCUUUGGUUAAUUUUAUUCAUAGACUUUAUGGCUUAAAAAUGGCUCAAUAUACGUAGGAAAAUAUUACUUUUUGUAGAAACUUUAUUUUAACUUGUAUAAUAAGUUCUUUCAUACUUAAUAGAAGUUUUAUAACACCAAUAUUACCCUUUUUAAAUUAUCACUUUGACUUUGGUUUUAGAAGAAAAAAAAGGAAGAGAAAACUAUCCCAAACAAAGCCUUAGCAUAUAAUCAUGACUUGUGAUUUUAAUCAAUAGGAAAAUGAAUCGUUUUAUCAAUGUUAGGGAAAAGUUCAGGGGCCUAUUAAGUUCAUGUCUUCUUUAUUGCCAUAAGAUUGAGAGUGUUUAUUUCUUUAGUUUUUUUAUCGAAAGUAAUUUGCUUUUAGACUUUUAGUUAUUUGUUUUUCCAUUUUUUCUUGAAUUUUUAUAAAUUUUUAACUAAAUAGAAAAAACUAAAAUAUUUGGAUUUUUCCAAAUAAAAAAAGUAAUAUAUUAGUUUUUUUUUUACUUUUUAAUGCUUAAUAGAAAUAAAAUAUUAUAAUACUUAACACUAUUAAACAUUAUUUAGUUUAAGUUCUAUUUAUAAUUAAAUAAAAAAAAAACAAAUGCCAUGUUAGCCUAUAAUCAAUUUUUUUUAUAACGAUUUGAAUUUUAUGAACAAAUAGGCUUACAAAGCCAUUGGAUUUUUUUUAGCACAAUGCCAAAAAUUCAAAAACAUGACAUGGCAUACCUAUAACUUUAGUAAAAAAUCUUGUAAAUCUAAACCCACAACUUGACUUUUAUGUGUCAAGGAUAAGCACAACUUUAAUACUUGGUUAAUUGCAAUGCCUAGCUAUGAAGGUGGAAGGCAUUGUGCUUAAGAAGGCGAGACUCAAAACGUGAAGCACGUUCCACUCAUCUACUGUCCCCAACAUUUCUUGCAUUUAAAAAAACCUUGUAUGUAAAAUGAUAAAAAUGCAAAUGCCUCCACUACAAUUGGAGGAGGAAUCUCUUUUCUUGCCUAUCAGUUAUUCUCCUAAUCCAUGGUUAUCCAAUUAUGUUCUUGAUGUCAAUAAUAAUAAUAAUUGAAAAAAAAAAAAAGUUUUGACAAGAUUCUUCAACCUCAAUUUAUCAAUGAAAUUAAGAACAUAUUUGGAUAAGUGAGUUCGAGUACGUUUGACAAUGAUUUUAAGAAAUGUUUUUAGAACCCGUUUGAUAGUGAUUAUAGGAAACAUUUUUAAUCUUUCUAACACUUAAAAAUUUUUGUCAUUUAAUUAUUAAAAAUACUAGAAAUGUUUUGUAAAGUCACUCUUAAACGCACUCUAAAUUAAAUGAUAGAACCCUUAUAUUAUUAGUAAUUAGAAUGCGUUUAAUAGUUUUAUUACUCGAAGUGUUUUUAGAGUGCAUUUGAUAGUGAUUUCAUGAAGUGUUUUUAAUUUUUUUAACAUUUAAAAUUUUUUAUCUUUCAAGUGUUAGAAAGACUAAAAAUGUUUUCUAGAAUCACUAUCAAACACACUCUUAAUCUUUCUAAUACUUGAAAAAUAAAAAUUUCCAAGUGUUAGAAAGACCAAAAACACUUUUUUGAAUUAGUACCAAACACACUUUUAGUCUUUUUAAUACUAAUACUUGAAAGAUAAAAAAUUUCAAGCGUAAGAAAAACUAAAAAUACUUUCUAAAAUUACUACCAAAUACAUUUUUUGAAGAUGUUUGUUUUUUAAACUUUUUGCAUAAAACAAUUUGUUUUUAGACUUUAGGUUGUUUUUUUUUUACUUUUUCAUAACUUAUUAUAAAUUUUUAACUGAAUAGAAAAAAAAUCAAAAUAUUUAACUUUUUUUUUUAAAAAAAAAUUAAUAUGUAAAUUUUUCUUUACUUUUUAAUGCUUAAUAGGAAUAAAAUAUUACAAAAACAAAUAAUCUAUUACUUAAUAUUAUUAAGCACUAUUUAGUUUUAAGUUUUAUUUAAAAUUAAGUAAAAAUAAAAACAAACACCACCUUUAUCUUUGGUGGCUCAAGACAAAGAUAAAUUUUUCAUGUUGGGAAGCCACUAGAUCAUAGGCAUAUGCUAUCUAUCAACUCAAGGAUACUAGAUUUAAUCGUGGUAGAAGUAAAUAUAGCGAUAAAACUUAGAUCUAAGUGGGGACACUAGCUCCAAUCACAGGUGUUCAAAAAUUUUAGCUUUGAUUUAGAUGUUUCUUGAUCAAAUUUCAGUUAAUAUAGCAAAUCUCAAAUACCUCGUGAUCUUUCAUUUGACCACUCAUUCUUUGAACUUUGAUAUAGCUAUACACCUUGAAAGGGAGAGAAAUAGAGCCUAGGGUUUUCUAGUAGACCACUUUUGUAAAUGGUUGUGUUGCUAACUCUAAAAUCCAAGAAGUUUAUAUAAAUUCUCUCAUGAACUUAAGUGACUUUCGUCCAAUAUUGGGGUCAUUUAAUAUAGUCCAUAGGAUCUUAAUUAAUUAAUCAUUUUAAAGAACUUUAAUUAAUUAAUUAGAUCAAUUUAGAAAAAUAAAAAAUAAUCAAUUAUAUUUUUUUGGUUAAAUCCAAAAAGCAUGAAAAUGAAGGGAUAUUUUCGUUCCUUAAAAGAUCCUUUCAACACAAAUUGUCAUUCUCUUAGGGGAUUCAGCAGCUGAGGAGAGAUAGAAGAACGAAAUCGAAUCUAGAGAUUUACAAAGACAUUGUGAAUAACUGUAGAUGAGGAGAGCGAUUGACGUGAGAGAGUGGAAUGAAAAUGGAUUUAUAUGGAGAUGGAUAGCAAAGAACCAAAAUCUGAUGACUUACAAUAAAUUUCAGCGAAAAUGAAAUGUGGUUUUGGAGUGUUGUCCCUUUUUGUUUUUGUUUUUGGAAUUUUAAAUAAUAGUCGAAGCAAGGAAAAUAGAAUGUUUCGAUUGGUUUGAUCUUAAAAUAAUAAUUUUAUUUAUUUUUCUUGUUUCUAUUAAAAAAAAUGAUAACAUUUCUUGCUUUAUAUCACUCCAAUUAUGUAUACAAAACGAGGUAUUAGGGUAAGAGUGCAUUCUACAACAAUUUUAUGAAAGCGUUUUGAAAUUAAAAACUGUUUUUUGAAAAAAAAUAAAAAAUAAAAUUGGUGUUUGACAAAAUUUAGGAAAUAUUUUUUAAAAUCUAAAAAAUAAUUUAUAACAUUAAAAAAUACUUAAAAAAACACUUUAGAAAGCAUUUUAUAGUGUUUUUACUUGAAAUGAUUUUAAGAGAACCGCUUAUCAAGUGUUUAUUUAGAAAAUACUAUAAGUGAUUUUUUAACACCACAAAUGAUUUUUCAUAUUUUUUAAGUGUUUCCUAAUUUUAUCAAAUACAUACUUAAAAAAAAAAAAAAAGUUGUUAUACUAAAAACGUUUUUUAGAAUCACUAUCAAACAAACUCUUAAUAGAUAAUUUUCUUAAAAACACUUUUAGAGAAAACACUUUCACUAAAAACAUUAUCAAAUGCACUCUAAUUACUACUAAUAGACCAGGUUCUACUGUUGAAUUUAAAUUGCAUUUGAAAAUGUUUUUACUUAAAGUACUUUUAAUGAAAGUGUUUUCUUUCGAAAUGUUUUUAGGAGAAUCAUCUAUCAAAUGUUUCUCCAGAAAACAUUAUAAGUGAUUUUCUAACAUUACAAAUGAUUUUUCAAAUUUUUGGAAGUGUUUUUAAAAUUUUGUCAAAUACCUAUUUUUUUUUCAAAAACAUUUUUUAGGCUAAAAGAGCUUUCUAGAUCACUAUUAAACGUACUCUAUAAGAAAGACUAAAAACACUUGCUAGAAUUAUUACUAAACAUUAAAGUCUGUUUAGCAAUGAUUCUUGGAAGUCUUUUUAAUUUUUAUAAUACUUGCAAGAUACAAAGUUUCAAGUAUUAAAAAAGUUAAAAACACUUCCUAAAAUCAUUGAAAAUGUGCUUAGAUUACGAAUAAAACAUUUUGAUUUCUAAUGGUAUUUCUUCAACCAACGAAGAGAAGACACAUUUGCCUAUUUGGCUUUUUUCAAAUUUUGAACUCAUCAUGUACCCAUCCAGGUCCGCUAUUAGCUCUGAGACGCACUCUCCACUUUAUGUACAUGUUUAGACACCUAUCGUGCUUAAAAGAUAAAAUAAUAAAAAUAAUUUAAUAUAGCAACACUCGAACAUAUUUUGAUGGAAUUUAGAGCUUUAAAGCAACAAAAAAAAUGAUAGUUAUUCCUCCUUUAAGUACAAUCACCUAUUUCCACGUCUUAGUUAAGUUAGCAUCUCAUAUCCAUUAAGAGAUGUAAUUUCCUAAUUUCAAGUGUAAGGUAGGGAAAAAGAAGAUAUUCCAACUUUUGGUACUCUUUUUUUGUGAAUUAGGAGAUACAACCAAAAGUCUGAUUUCGAAAUGCAUUCUUUUUCUAUCUAUGAGGAAGAGACGUAUUUCUUAUUCAAUUAUUUGACAUUUUUUACUUACUUUUGAACACAUUGCAUGCUAACUUCCAAGGGUCUACUAUUAGCUCAUAUAUAUAUAUAUAUAUAUUGAGUCAUAAGACGUUUCUUCAUUGUGGGAAGCUUCCCUCCAUGUUUCUUCCUAGGCUCAAGACCCUUUGGUCGUUCAAGGUAAGUAGAUAAUUCGUUUGGGAGCAAUUCGUCUAAACCAAGACAAGCUUUGUCUGGUGCAAGAGGAAAGACUAAUUUCUUUUUUCCCCAAUGCCAAACGAAAUGGACAGACCAAGUCGAUUGGAACUUCCAGACAGACAAACCAACCCAAUCGGAAAUUUUAGGCAUUGGACAAAUGAUUAAUCACCACCAAUGCCUGAGCAACAAUCUAGACGACAUUUACACCCAAAAAUCAAUAUCAAUAAAUCGUUACAUGCCAUCAGCGACAUUGACAAACGUAAAUACACAAUCAAUGACAUGGUCCUAGAUUCUUGCACGACAACCAACGAAUGGCACCAAUCAGCAUCUCUUGUUUGGUAUGAUUGCCUAAUCCGCGCUAAAAUGAUGGCGUUAACUACCUUAUUAAGGCAUAGUAUCCGCCACUACAACGAUCAUCAAUGCAAGAAAAGCAUGAAUACAUAAUCAAUGCUAUGAUGAUGGCGCCAUAUGUUAUAAACCCCUCUAGUAGCAUGAAAAAGGUACGCGUACAUAGCCAUUCAAAAAAGUUGGAUUCACUCCGACUAGAUUCUUACUAAAGCUUUAGAGAGGCGUGCUCGGACCACCUGUCCGGACAUCAUUUUGUUCAAGGAAGAAGUCCAUCUAAUUCUAGUGAAGUUAGAUAGACCUGCAUCCAGUUGGCACAACAACAACAUUGGCUGUCUGUGGGAACCAACUAAGGAUGUCAACACCCUCUAGAAUCCAAUCAUCAACUAUAGGUGAUGAAGAUUAUUUUGUCUGGUGCUAAAGGAUGAAGAUUAUUUUGUCUGGUGCUAAAGGAUGAAGAUACGCCAAUGAUAAAAUGAGUGACGGUGCACACUCUGCUCCGCCAAACGAAACAACUAAGAGAAGAGAACAAAGAGUUGCGGACUCAAAUGUCAAUAGUUGGCACUUCUCAAAGUCGGUACACUCCAAGUUGACAAACAACCUCAAGACGAACUGUUGAGGCAUAUUUCCUCGGGAGCACAAAGUUCUCAUCCGAUAGCUACUCGAGACGAUCCGAGGAGGAGCCUUCACUAGCUCAUCAAACACAACCGGACGAAUGCACCAACUCUACUCGGACAUCAAGGAAAAGAAGGCCCAAUAGAGGGUCACAUUUAUUUGAAGCAAUAUGAGCCCAACUAGGACCCCAAGCACUAGGCGUGGAGGCGCAACCACGCAUGUCAAACACCCUAAGGGCACGUAUAGAUUAGUCAACCCCAAUAACCACAUCUGAAUGGCCCUCUCAACCUACAAGGCGAUAGUAGAUGGAAGUGCCAACAACGCAAGCCUCACCCGACUUUAUUAGUCGACGGUUGGAUGACAUGCUCUCCACGUCGUUUGGCCCCCAUAUCAUUAGCUACAAGUUGCCUAAAGGGUUCGUAGUGCCCAAGUUCACAAUGUACGACGGAACAAAUGACUCAUUUGACCACAUCAUGCACUUCAGAUAGCUCAUGACCCUCGACAUAAGGAAUGAUACGCUGAUAUGCAAGGUCUUUCCAACUAGCCUACACAACCAAACUCUCUCUUGGUUCCACUGCCUCCCUCAUAAUUUCGUGAACAUAUUUCGAAAUGUCUUGGAAGCGUUUGUAGGCCACUACCUAUGUUUUGCUCACCAAAAGCAGAACAUAAGCACCUUGUAGAACAUCAAGUUGCAGGAAAAUGAAACGCUAAGGGAUUUCAUGAAGCGGUUCGAGCAAGCACUGCUUCAAGUGAAUCCUACAGUAUGGACACCAUAUUGUAUAUCCCCAAGCGAAACAUCAGCCCAGACACUCCAUUUUUCAAGUUUCUUGUGAAGAAGUCGCCCACAACAAUGGAUGACCUAUUCAGGUGGGUAGACAAGUAUUCUAUGCUUGAAAAUGAUGUCCAAGCAACCUCUUAAUAAGUCUUGGUCACCAAGUAGUCGGCCAAGAAUGAUAAAGUAAGGAGUUUUAAGCCUUCUAACCAAACGAGGCAAGGUAGGAAAAGGCAAGACAACCGACAACAAUAGUAGGAAAGACUCACUCUCCUAAGUAUCUCAUACAAGAAACUCCUUCCGCAGAUUCGUGACCUGUUGAACUUUAGGUGGUCGAAGUCAAUCAAGACAGAUCCAUAUAGAUGAGACCAGAAUAGAAGGUGUUCUUACCAUAAGGAUCAUGGCCACACCAUUGAACAAUACAAGAACUUGCAUUACUUGGUGCAAAAGCUCAUUAGGGUCUAGCAACUUAAGCAGUACGUUCGCACAGCAAGCGAGCAAAGAGAGGCAACACCAGAGGCAAUCACCCAAGCCCUUGUGUCUCCAAUAGCCCCCAUGUUUGUCAUUAACUAUAUACACAGAGGUCCAAUAGGUUACAAGCAUAGUUUUAGGUGGCAAAGGCAAAGGUUGCUUCAUGCGACUUUUGUAAGAGAACGGAUUAGCUCUGCCCAAUGCACCUUUGUAGAAGGGAGUGUGCGUCCAAUCAACGACACAAUCACCUUCCCUCCUAUAAAUGUCAACCGGGUGUUAUAAUCGCAUUAAGACGCCUUGAUCCUAACGUUGGGAGUGGGUGGAUUCAACGUACAGAGAAUCUUGCAGUUCAGCUAAUCUUUUGCAAAUGUUAGCCUACAAGCAAAUGGACCACUUGACAUCUACCCUAAAGAAUCCAGGACGUCUGUUAUUCGGAUUCAAUGGGGAUACAACUACCUCCCUGGGCGAUGUUAUGUUGCCCAUCCAAGCUGACCUGGUCACAUUGAGCAUGCGGUGUUUGGUGGUUGACGAUUUGUCUUCUUACAAUGCCAUUAUGGGACGUGCAUGGCUUCACAAAAUGAAAGUCAUUCCUUAUAGUUAUUGAGUCUGACGGAGAAAGAUCCACCUGCGGUUGAUCCGCUCCAACCACCACUCCUCUCACAUGACAUGGAUCAAAUCACUUACUCCAGUUCUUUACUUGCGCAAGAUGAACUAGAAUUGUUAGGGAAUAUGUUUCAAUGCAAUAAGGACAUCUUUGCCUGGACUCACUCGAACAUGCCAGGAAUCUAUCCGGUCGUGGCCUCCCACGAGCUUAACAUCUCACUCGCCUCACAACUUGUCUGACAAAAGAUCUGGCGUUUUCAUCCAGACAGACAGAAGAUCAUCCAAACAGAAAUUGACAAACUAUUAGCAAUAAGAUUAAUUAGAAAAGUCAAAUAUUUGGAUUGGUUGGCGAACAUGGUGGUAGUCCCAAAGAAAGAUGGAAGGUGACGAGUCUGCGUUAAUUACAUCAACCUAAAUGACGUUUACCCAAAGAAUAGCUUUCCUUUGCCUCGAAUAGAUCAGAUAGUCGACGCCAUUGCUAGGCAUGGAAUUAUCUCAUUUCUAGAUGCCUUUUCUAGAUACCACCAGAUCCCUAUGUUUCAGCCAGACGAGGAGAAAACAGUCUUUGUCACGCUAAAAGGACUGUAUUGUUAUAGAGUCAUGUCGUUUGGACUCAAUAAUGUUGGUGCUACCUACUAGAGACUAAUGAAAAAAAUCUUCAAGCCCUUGAUGGUUCGAACUGUGGAAGUCUAUAUUGACGACUUUGUUGUAAAGAGCGAGACCCGAGUUGAGCACGUCCAGCACCUGAAAUAAGCAUUUCAUCUUAUACGGGCAUACAACAUGAAGCUCAAUCCAGCUAAGUGUGUCUUUAACAUUAGUGCAAGGAAGUUUCUAGGGUUUAUGGUAACCCAAAGGGAAAUUGAAGUUAAUCCGACUCAAGUGAAAGCCAUCCUCGAAACACCUGCUCCAAGCAGCAAAAAAGAAUUGCAACGCCUCACAGGCUGUCUCAUAGUUUUGGGUUAUUUCAUAGCUUGUUUCACAGAUAAGUUGCAACAUUUCUUCCUCACACUUAAGGGGGCAAACACAUUCGGUUGGAUAGACACGUAAGCAAGCAUUUAAGGUAGUCAAGUGCUACCUCACUGAACCACCCAUUCUAAGCAGCCCUAAGUCCAACGAAGAACUCUACAUGUAUCUGAUCGUAUUUGACAGCACCAUCCUAUUUCGACAUACAUGAGACAGAAAGUAGAAACCCAUCUAUUAUGUGAGCAAAGCAAUGGUGGAUACUGAGACAUGAUAUUCUCAAGUAGAGUAGAUUACUCUAGCAUUGAAGAGUGCCACUCGGAAGCUCUGCCCGUACUUCCAAGCUCAUUAAGUCACCUUGCACAAGCCAGACCUAUCUAAGUGAAUGUUGAAAUGGGCAAUCGAGUUGAGUAUGGGAUUAAGUAUUAGCUGCGAUUAUCCUUAAAAAAGCAGGUUAUGACCGAAUUUAUAGUUGAACUCCCUAAAAAACAAACACAUCCUGUCAACCAUCUUGGAGAGCAAUGGUGGACAUUUCAUGUAGACGGAGCGUCUAGGGUAUCUGGAUCUAAAGUAGGUCUGGUCUUACAAUCACCAUCUAAGAAACUAGUGGAACAAGCUAUUCGCCUCAGCUUUUCGAUUUUCAACAACGAGGUAGAAUAUGAAGCUAUGCUAGUCGGACUAGAUCUUACUCUAAUGCUUGCUGCUGCUAGGUUGGAAGUUAGAAGAGAUUCUCAACCAAUUGUCGAGCAAAUUCAAUGAGAGUAUGAAGCAAAGGAUGAACGUAUGGCCCGAUACCUCGCUAUAGUGGAAGAAUGCCUGAAAAAAACUAGACGAGUGGAUCAUUAGACGGGUGCUAUGAGAAGAGAAUAGAAAGGUCGAUGCACUAGCUGAGAUAGCUACCACUUUCCCCAUAAAUGGGAUGUUAAUGUUGCUCAUCUACCUCAAAGUUGCGCCUUCCAUCACUCCCGAGACAAUAUGCAAUAUUGGUCAAACAUACUUAAGAUCGAUGUUCGACAUCAUAAAAUACCUCCAGAUAGGGGAUGUAUCAAAAGACAGGAAACAAGCACACAAACUUCGCAUACAAGCAACACGCUUCACUUUAAUUAAUGAUCAACUUUAUAAACGAUCAUUAGAAGGCUCAUACCUAAAGUGUUUAAGCCAGCCAGAGGUUAAGUAUGUCCUAGCCAAACUCCAUGAGGGCGUAUGCGACAAUCACCCAGGCAGACGAACUUUGGCACAACCGUGCCUACAUGCAUGGAUACUAUUGACCCACCAAAAAGUGGGAAGUUGAAAACUAUGUCAUAAGAUGCGAUCAGUGUCAACGAGUACUUAGCCAUUUUAGUAAUAGAGGAUGGACAUAAUCGACCCCUUGUCCAUUGGAGUAGUACGAAAAAAAGUUUUUGCUUGUUGCAACCAACUACUUCAAUAAGUGGGUGAAGGCAGAAGCUUAUGCCAGUAUCAAAGACAAAGAUGUCUCCAAGUUCAUCUAGAAAAACAUUGUAUGUCGAUUCGAAAUUCCACGAGCAAUCGUCACAGAUAAUGGGCCUCACUUUGACAACUCUAUUUUUUGAACAUUUUGCUCAGAGCUAAAUAUCAAGAAUUUGUAUUCAACACCCCACUAUAUGCAAAGCAAUAGACUAGCAUAGACAACAAAUAAAACCUUGUUGAAUGUAUUGAAGAAAAUGUUGGAAUGAGCAAAAGAAAAAUGGGUAGACGAAUUGCCCAAAGUCUUAUGGGCCUACUAGACAACAUCCAAACGGCCAACAAGAGUCACUCCCUUCGCCCUUACUUAUGGGAUGGAAACCAUCAUUCCAAUUGAAGGUGGCAUGCUUACUGUCAAAAAAACCGUACAAAACCAAAGUGACAACGAUGAAGAACUUAUAAGGCAAUUAGAUUGGGCUGACGAAAAGCAAAGAUUGUGGCUAUCCGGAUAGCUUCUUACCAUAAGAGGACAAUUGCUUAGUACAACAAAAGGACACAACCACGGUUUUUCCAGCCAAGAUCUUUGGUCCCUAGAAGAGUCUUUGAAAACACAACUAAAGUGAGAGUCGAAAAACUACAAGCUAAUUAGGAAGGACCUUAUGUUGUAAUUAAGGCAGGAGACUUGGGGGCAUACCACCUCCAAACACUAGACGGUGUGCCUCUGCUCCACCUUUAGAAUGUAACUAACUUAAAGCAAUAUUAUCAAUAAAAAUUGCUUAUGAAAAUAGUGUAGUGAGAAAAAACGGCUAAAGAAAGCACACUUGAAGAAAAAUUAGUAAGUGCAAUCAUAUUGAAGAAAAAUAAAACUCAAAAGAGCAUGCAUUGUAUGUACAAGUAUGAAAGUCUAGGCCACAACUGGCAAAAGUAAAGAAAUGUAAAAGAAGUUAAGUCUGCUUGCCAUGGGAGUUGUCUUCAACAGAAGGUCCGCCUCCUGGAGCAUGUCUGUCUCCUGGGCAGGCCCAUCUCAUUGGGUAAAGCUGCCUAAAAACUCAUCAUUCUCAUCAUUAGAAGAGAGGUUGGGAGUAUCUUUGGCAAUGCCAUGUUUCUUCAUACAACACUGGUAGCCAUAGAAGAACAUGUCAUCCACCUGCUUCUGAUAGUUCACUUCCAAAUCCUCCUUUUGAGUGGCAAACCCUGCCCAAAGAUCUUGUAGCUUCUGCCUUAGUCGGCCAGUCUCUUCUUCAGUUUUUUUCUUCUCGGCCACUAUAGUCGCCUUCUCCUCAACCAACCGACAAGUCUUGGCCUGGAAUGCUUUCUUCUCCUCCUCGACCUUUCUUAACAAAUAGGCACCCUACUCAGCCAACUUUUGGGCAGUAGUAGCCUCACUCCUUGUCGUCUCCAAGUUGGCUAUGAGCUCCUCAUUUUCGUCCAUGUUAUGGCUAAUGUAUGCCCUCAUGGUUUCAAUUGCUUCCAGUUGCUGGAAAAGGUGCGCUUGCUAUUGCUGAGGUUAAGAACUCUGACUAUCACUUGGGGGUAUCAAAGAUCAUUAUGAAAUAAAAGACUAAAUAAAAACCAAGAAAAGUCACAGUGAAAAGGAGGGGGACAACAUACCACUUCCGCUAUCUUAAAAGUAAUGCAGUCUUUCAUAUGAAUGAUGCGGGCAAUGGUAGCGUCUGGAGUACUAUAAGGAAGCCGCACCAUGAAAGACUAGUUAGGGUCUUCGCCCACUUCAAUCGGAAUUUGUUGUGUAGUCAAAAAGAGCGCCCCCAUGUCUUGCAUUAGAGACUAUUGGUGAAAGAGGGGAUACGACUUAGAAGCUCUGGCAUUUCCUCUUGGUUGGGGAUAUAAGCUGGAUUUAGGCGGAAAGGAGAAGGGUUUGGACACUCAAAUGAUUCCUUAUUGAUGCUCCCCAAGACGAUGAAGGGUUUUCUCAUCUCGUGAUAAGGAAUGUCGCCAAUAGAUGAAGGUUUUUCAUUUAGGCCCGAAGUGACGACUGUAGUAGGAGUCGACGAUGUUGGCUUGGAAGGAGAGUUCGGAUCGGGUGCCGAACAGGUUUUCUUUGAAGAAUAGGGAUCAAUAGCAAUAGAUUCAAAUACGCACUUAUGCUACCUCUCGAGGAUCCGACUCUCAAGUUGGAGGCCAUUUCCUUUUCUUCCUCUUCCUCACAAAUAAUAGGGGGCAACAGCUGGUUCACCCUGCUUUUACUUUGUCCCUAGAAGAUGAAGAGAACAUAGACUAAAAAGACAAUGAAGACGAGGUGGAGGGAGACAGAGUUCUCACCUUUUGGAUGGGACGAGCUGCAAACUUCUUCUUUUGGGCAGGAAGACGGACAAUGGAGUUGGAAGUCGGACGACUAGCAACUGAAGCUUACUUUAAUGUUCCCUUCUAGCGCUUCUUCUCCCGUUCCUUUAGAUGAGCUUGAUGUGCUUCAGAAUCCGCCAAAUAAGCAAUCUUGUAGAAAAACAAAUCAUUUUUUGUUGGGUACUAGAGAUGGAGAAGCUAAUCAAGGAAACAUCGAGAUAAUAAAUGGCUUGAGAUUUUUUAUCAAUGUCUGUCGAUUCUCGUCUGAUAGGAGAAUUCUAUGAGUUCCUUCAAUAGAUUUCGAACAAUUUGUUAAGGUGGGCGAAUGAAGUCUUCUCCACUUAUUCUACAAGGCGUCUUUGCCUCUCAUUACCUGUAUUAGAUGAACAUAAAGAUUGUGAGUAGGUUAGCAACAAAGCUGGAAUAACAACAAGACAAAAUGAAAGUGAUAAAAGCAUAGUCUACUUAGAAUCUCCAACGAGCGCUAUAGAGAAAAAAAACUCUGUUCGGACCCUCAAACGAACCACUCCAGGGGCCAGACACCAAAACAUGCUCUUUGGCCCAACCUUUGCUCGAGUCCAAAAGAUUGGUCACAAAUUGGAGAAAAUGAAUGUGGGCAGACAAGCUGAACCUCUCUUUUGGGCUCAUCUUGAUAGUGUAGAUGAACAAGACUUCCAGGAGAGAGAGAUCUAAUUGGAAGAGCAUGUUCAACACACUACACCCCAUCAAUAUUUGGAUAACAUUCAGAUAAAGGAAAGCAAACGAAAUUUGUGUGAAGUUAAGAAAUUGUUUAAGAAGGGACGGAAGGGGAAGAUGGAGCCCUGCAGCAAACUGUUCCUUGGUAAAGUAUGUCAUGUUAUUCGGAAUAUUGACUUAUGACAAAGCUUCAUCAUCUAUUAGCUUAAUCAGGAUGGUGUCCAGAAUACAAAAACAAGCCCGAAACUCUCGCUCAUACAAGUCCCUAACUGGGCGAUCCGGCCUAGAGAGCCCGAAUUUAACAUUUUUUCAUCCACCUUACUGAAGCCUUCUAUUGGUAGAAGUAACUUCUCAUCUAUCCAUUAUAUCAAACGAGUUUGGGUUAUGUGGAAACCUAAGCAGAUCAACGUAGUUUUCAAAACUAAUCACUCGACUUAUCCAUCAUUUGGUGUUGCCCUAGUGACGGACACCGAAACUUAAACGAACUAUAAUCCGAAUCUAGAUGGAUUAGGCUAUGGAAACUUGUAGAAGAAGCUCCUUCAUCGACGAUAGGCGAAAAAUCGCACACAUUGCAGCAUUGCAAUGACAGCAAAGGCAUAAGACGACAACACAAAUACAAUGAUGACAUAGAAACAAAUAAGAAGCCUAAAAAGCCCUAGAUUUGGACACUAAUACGUUCAGCCCAAACAAGCAAAAAGAGCGAGCAGGGAAACCGAAAAACCCAAAAUUUGGACAUUGAUAUGUCCAUUUUCUCUCCAAACAAACAACACCAACACAAUCAGAAAAGAAAAAACAAACACAAUAAAUGAAUGAAAGGAUGAUAGAAAACCUACUAAAGUCAAAACUGAAAGGCUUUCUAGCAGGGAAGAAAUCCUUCGGUAGCAAAUCAGUUAAUAGUGGCGAUGAAGGCGAAAGAGAACAACCGGCAGUAAACACAGUGACGACGAAUAAGCAACGUAGGCGAAAGAACAAAAGUGGGAGAAAGCUAAAAAGUGAAUCAAAUGGGUGGAACCUCACUAUUUAUAAGGAACAAAAAUCUAGGCAGACCGAGAGACACGCCGCAUAGCAGUGCUCACCAAGGUUAGUGAAGGGAUGUCGCCUGAUAGUCGGCCUCGGUUGAUGUGACCCAUCAUUAAAGUACCAAAUGACACAUCAUUUGGUGCCCAAAAACUUGAAAAAACAGACAAUUCGUUCUUCCCCAACCUAUCAGCAACCCGAUCAGACAGAGGUAGAUGGAUUAGAGGGAAUUGUAGGAAGCUUUCCUCCACGUGUCCUUCUCACCACUAAUGCUUGAGUGACAAUCUAGAUGACAUUUACACCUAAAAAUCAAUGUCAAUCUAACUAUAACAUUGACAAAUGUAAAUGCACAGUCAACGAUAUGGUCCGAGAUUCUUGCACAACAGCCAACAAAUGGCACCAAUUAGCAGCUCUUAUUUGGUAUGAUUACCCAAUCUGGGCUAAGAUGAUGGCGUUAACUACCUUAUUAAGGCAUAGUAUCUACCACAACAACAAUCAUCAACACAAGAAAAACAUGAAUGCACAAUCAACAUUGUGAUGAUGGCGUCAUAUGUUCUAUAAAAACCCCUCCAAAAGCAUGAAAAAAGUACAUGUAUAUAGCCAUUCAAAAAAGUUGGAUUCACACUUACUAGAUUUUGAUUUAAGCUUCGGAGAAGAGUGCCCGAACCACCUGUCCGAACAUUCUUUUGUGUAAAGAAGAAGUUUGUUUGACUCUAGUGAAGCUAGACGGACCUACAUCUAGUUGGCACAACACUAACAUUCACAUCUCAAUCUUUUGAUGGAUGCUUAAUUAUGUUUGAGUCUUGAUAUAUGUUGGAGAUACCUUGUAUGUAGGAGAAUUUUUUUUAUUUUUUAUUUUUUAUUUUAUGAUAAAUCUUUUUUUAAUCUUGUAAAUUAAUUUAUUCUUUUUUAUCUACAUGUACUAUUUUAGUGCUUUUGAGUUAAGCUAUGUUUGUUUUGCUUUUCUAUUGAAUUUAACUCCUUUUUAUUGAGCAUAUUUAUCUUUUUUGUCUAUUAUGCUAGCAUGUUACACACUUUAUGGAGUUUUAGCCCUAAUAAGUCUUUGUUUGCUUUGCCUUGCUACACCUUGAUUUUCCUUUACACAUUGUACUGUUUGUGCCACUUCAUUCAUCAUUCCUUUUGUUAUCAUGUUUUAUUUUAUAUUUGUUUUUGCACUUACUUUCUUAGGUGGUAUUUGUUUUUUUAACUUUAUUCUAAAUAGAAAUUUAAUACUUAAUAGUUUUAAGUAUGAAGUUGUUUGUUUUUUUUUUUAAUAUUUUAUUUCUAUUAAAUAUUUAAAAAGUAAAGAAAAACUAAUAUAUUACUUUUUCCAUUUAAAAAAAGUCAAAUAUGUUGGCUUUUUCUAUUCAGUAAAAAGUUUAUAAUAAGUUAUGAAAAAAUAGUAAAACAAACAACCUAAAGCCUGCAAGCAAAUUCUUUUAAGCAAAAAACUAAAAAAAAAAAAAAAAAACCACCCUUUUAGUAUCCAUGACCAACUAGUUUAUUAUUAUAGUUCCCUUCACUCAUUUGGUAAAGAUCUCUAUAGGGCUUUAAGAAGUGUUAUCCUUAUGGUACAUUUUUAAUAAGUAACUUCACUUUUGAACUUAAACUCGGUUUUUCAUAAAUAUGUUUUUUUUUAUAAAAAAAAGAAAAGUUGCACUAGAGUUUUCUUUCUUAUUUUAUUUUCUCUUUUAAAAAUAGACAAAAAUAAGAAUAUGUUUGACAGUAAUUCUAAGAAGUAUUUCUAACAUUUCUAAUACUUGAAAGAUAAAAAAAUUCAAGUGUUAAAAAGGUUAAAAACAUUUCCUAGAAUUACUGCCAAACACACUCUAAGUAAUUAUUCCAAUUUUCAAAAAUCAUAAAAUAAGUCUUACCACAUUUUGUAGGUCCUCAUGUACAAAAUGUAGGAACAUAAUUUGACUUAAGAAAACUCAUUAACACAAUGGGAUUAAUAUGAGUCAAAGUAUGGCGAGUGUUUCAUCCUCUUUUGGCUCAGUUCUAACUUUUGGCAUCCUUGAGAGAUUCUUCUUCAUCAAUCUAUGAGAAAAAGGUUAGAGCAAUGGAAGGUCAUUCAAACCAUCUCGUCUUUAAUGAUUAAGUCAACCAUGAUUCUAAGGGAAAGGAUUCAAUAGAGAGAGUAAUGGUUCACUUACUUCGCUUUGGGAACUAGCUUCCUUUUUAUGGCUCAUUUGAGGUGGGAUUUUUACUCCUCUCAAAGAGUUAGUUAGAAAAAGCUAUGGGUGCUUCUUACAUUUUAUAUAUGAAUUCCUAGUUUUGUAUCAUUUUAAUUAGGUGUUGUAUUAUUGAUACUUCAAUUUUUAAAUUAAUAAAUCUAACUAAAUUUAUUAUUUUAAAUUUAUAUUUUAUUAAUAGAGUGGUAAUUUCUACAAAUUCAAUAGUAAAAUUUUUGGAAUUUAUUGUUUAAUAAUACAGUUUUAAGAUUAUUUUUUUUAUUAAAGUUGAAAAGUCUAAUUUGUCUAUUUUAUUUUAUUUUUGUAUAGAUGAAUUUAAAAAAAAAAAGUAGCCUUGGGUUUCUUAAAAAUUUUAAUAGAAAAUUCAAGUUACUGUAUCGCUACUUAUUAAAUAUGUAAUCUAAAUUGAUUAAAAGUGUACAAUAAAAUAUAAGCCAUUGGAUGAAGGUACAAACAUAUGGGAUUAAUGGACCAAUUGAAAGUGUAUAAUAAAAUAUAGGCUAUUGGAUAAAGGUAUAAAUAUAUGGUAUUAAGGUACAAAUAAAUCAAAUCAAAUAAAAGCAAAUGGAACCAAGGUUAAAAAAAAUGAAAUCAAGAUAUAGAACUGGGGCACAAAGCAAUCAAAUCCAAAUUGUAUAUGUGGUGUGAUUUAAUUGAUACCACUUUCUAAUUUGUAUCCAAUUAAUACAGGAAUGAGAUCUAAUUUUAAUUAAUCAAUAUAGAAGAAGGAAAAUAAUAUAUAUAAAAGCAAGAUAACUGACUUUGGCCUCUUGUUUUACAAACUUGGUCUAAGUAAACUCUCCUGCCAACUUUUUAUUAAAUUUUUUAAAAAGUAAUUUGUCCAUGACAACUAUUAUAAUUUAGGGUUAUUUGGAGAAUGUUAGUCUAAGGGUUCUACUAAUUAAGUUAAAGUUACUAAAAAUUUAAAUCAAGUUAAUUGUUUUAGGUUUUUUUAUUAAAGAAAGUUCAAGCAACACAAAUAGAUGAUUCUCCUUAAUGGAGACUUACGCUUAUUGAAAACUUAUGAAAACCUAACUUGGCACACUUAAAUCAUUAAAAUUUUCCAUGCUCUUAAAGUUAAAAAAAAAUCAUCUUUUCUUGAACUUAAACUGAUCAUAUCUUCAUAAAAUUGGAUGGUGUCUUGUUUUUGUUAAAACUAUUGCCUUAAUUCAUUCAAAAACUUGCUCAAAAGGGUUUAUUUGGUGCUAAGGGUGCUUUAUCGAAGGUUCCCAACCUCAAUUCAAACUUAUACUAUAAUUUAUAAUGCAAUUGAUCAAAGCAGAGAGGAACUGAUUGGGCUCGAUUGGUCAAGAUGUAUUUUGUGCAUCUUAGACUUCUAGUUCUUGGGAUAGAGCCUUUAAAAGUAUAACAUGAUGUAACAAUAAAUAUAUUUCAUUAUGAUUCUAGUUUUCUCUUUCACUAUCCCAUUUAUGCAUUUUGCAUUAUGAACAUUUAAGCCUACAUCACUUGCAUUAUACAUGACUUAGUUGUAUUAAGAGUUGCAUACAAGACCCAAGUCAUGGGUUUGAUGCAAUUAAAUGAGUUGCUUAUAUUUUGUUCAUGGACUUAAGACAAUCCAUUUGAGAUUGUAAUGCACUAUUUUCUAAUUGAAGGGAUUAUUUGUCUUGGUCAUUAGGAUGAGUUUUCCAUGGUGAGUGUACUAAUGUGUAUGGUUACAUAUUAGACAGUACCUACAAUGAUUUAUGACAUUGACUAUCGAGUAGUCAUAAUGUCACCAAACUACUAUGUUGUAUGAGCUCUCAACCUUGAGAGAGUAUUGAAUUAGUGUUAAGGUCUUCAAUAGCUUUGACUUGUGAACGAGACCUUAAAAUGGUCAUAUAUUCCCUAUGGAUUGGGUCAAUAUUAAUUAAGGUAGGUAGCAAUAAAUAUUCUCAAGAUAGGCACCAUGAUAUAUCAUAGGUUUGAGACAAUGUGUCCUCUUUGGUGAUCCAAAGGACAUAUGAUCAUCAAAUCUAUGGUUGUAGUCAUUCCUUAAGUGAAAUUUGACAUAUGCUCUUAAAGAGUUAAAAUAUAUAAGUUAGUCACAUAAUAAGGAUUUGAGUCUCAAGGAUGGUAAAAUUAAUCUUAAGAGGUUGAUAGCAUUCACUUUGUUACAUUAUAGUCACUAUUUUAUUGGAGUUUGCACGCAAUCGUUUGUAGAUCAAAGAAUUGAGUUUUCUAUCUUAGCUACUGUCAUAUGAUACUAAAGUGCAAUCAACUUUUUAUAGUGGGAUAUUGAGUCAACUUUAGAAUUGAAUUAUGAGGGGAUCAAUACUUUCCCAUGAGUCCUAAUGGCCCUAACUUGAAAUCAUAUUCCUUGGUGGUACAUUAUUUAAGGAAUAAUUGGGUUCUUUAUUCAUGUGUGCAUAAGGGUAUUUUGGUAAAUACGUAAGGUUGCAUAAUAACUUAUAAAUGGUCUUCCAAGAUUAUGAUAAUUAAUUAAUUGAAGCUUAAUAAAGCCAAGGAAUUAAUUAAAACCUAAUGGGAUAGAUUAAGUCACCCAAGGCCAAGACAGACUCAAGUCACUUAACCUCAUAGGUAAGUCUAUAUAAACCUUUUAAGGGUUUAGGACUUACAAUUUUUCUUUUUAGUCUUCUAGAUAGAAAGAACCCUAGCCUCCAUAUUUAUAGAGAGGAUUCCAUCAUUCUCACAUGUUAAGAUCCAAGAAAGAGUCAUGAAAUGGAAGAUUGCAAGGUUUUUGAGAUCUGCAUCGUCCUUUUCAUUAACUAGAAUUAAUCUAAGGAUAUCUAGAUCAUAGGUAAAGUUUUCUAAGCACCUAGAUAUAUGAUUCAAAGUUUUGAAUGUUUCUAUUUCCUAGAUCUAUAGAUCCCUAGGAUAGUCUUGCAUUCACCUUAACAAACUAAGGCUUGGAAUGGAGUAAUCCAAAUACUCUAAUAAUAGUAGCAUGUUUUAAGUGGUUGAGAUAGGAGCCUCAAUCGAUCGAGAACUAAUCAAACCAAUUGAGAUAUUUAAUAAUAAACUUCAAUGAUCACUUGCAAGUGUAUUUAAUGCACAAUAGCUAGCGAACUAAUCAAAUCAAUUUCUUGACCGAUCAAGCCUAAAUUAUGGGUUGUAAGGUUUCUAAGUUGCUCAUAUAUAUAUAUAUAUAUAAGAAUUUAUGAAUAAGAUAUCUAUAGGUUUCAAUAAAUUUCAAUUUUUAACUAGCUCUUUUCUUUCCUUUAAAGCUCUUUCAAGUGCAUUUACUUUUCAACUUGCAAUUCUUCAUAUAUACCUAUAAGUCAAUCCUAGUUUCAUUUUGUAUUAUAAGUUUACCUUGCUUCACUAGAAUUAAGAGUUUCUUUUGAGAAGUGUUUUUCAAAUGAGGUAGAUCACUUAAGGUAUUUGUGAAAGUGCAUUGGAACCUUAGAAUCCAAGUAUACCCAUUGAAGACUUGAGGUUGAAGCCUUAAAGUUUAGUAACCUCACUCAAUUAAGAACUUGAGGCGAGUGGAAAUUGAUUUUGCAUUUCUUCUUUCUCAAUUGUCUUUAUAUUUUUGCAUAAACCAGAUGGAAAACACACACACACACACACACACACACCUCAAUCAAAUGCACGAUCUAUGCUAAUCCUCCUAGAGUGAAUCGACAAAUAGGAUUUUCACUUUGAAGAGAGUGGAACCCUUAUCUGUUCUCUAUUGGUUUGAAGAAACCUUUCUGCUUUGUUUUUUCUUUUAAAUCUUAAUGGUGUUUUUUUUUCCUUUUUAUUUCGAGUAAUUUGUUCCAAAGAAAGUCAUUUUUCAUGUUUUCAAAGGACAUAGGUUAGUUUUACAAAUAUGAACUUAAUUUUCCCCUUUUAACCAACUAUGAGGCAAAAAAGAGUCUUGUUAGAAUUUGUUAAAAGAAAUAUUUAACUAAAAGGGAUGAGAUAAUGAUAUCAAUAUUUGAAAAAUAAUUUUUAUAUAUCAGUGUUUUCAAAGGCAUUUUACAGGCGCGCCUUGAAGCAUGCCUUAGGGUGAAGCGUGGCAAAAAUGCGUUGAGGUGUAGAAAAUAAAAUGGGAGUCAGAAAAGGCGCGCUUUCUUUAUUUCUUUUUAUGGGAAAAAAAGGACCUUUUUUUUCUUUUAUUGUUACUUAUUAGUGGUCUAAAUUUGACUAGACCAUUAUUCUUUUUUUACUUUUGUGGGAAAAAAGAUAAACACUUUUUUUUUAUGUUUUUAUUACUUGUGGUUUCAAGUUUUCAACUUUGACCACCUUUGCUUUUUUUAAAACGUGCAGUAACUUGUUAGUGGGUUAAAAAACCAAAUUUGUUUUUAUUCUACUUUCCCACAACUACCAGAUUUUUAAUUUUAAUGUUUAAUGAAAAAAAAUGUGUUUUUUAUUUUUUAAUCCCAUGUAGCCACAGUAACUAGUUGGUAGAGACCACAUACUAGAUUUUUUAUUUUGUAAUCACUCAUAGGCUAUGGGUCACAACUACAUUAAAAGGAAAUUCUAGUUUUAUUUUUUUUUAGGACAAAGAGAAUUAGUUUUUUUUUUUUUUGAACUUUUCAUUGCUUGAGAUUUGACCCACUGUUUUUUUUUUUUUUCUCAUCUUACAAAGCUACAAUCACCAAAAUCUAGUAUUGACUUAUUAGAUUUUAAUUUCCACUUUCUCAUAUUUCAUGUUUUUUUCUAAUGAAAAAUUGUAAAACUAUAUAAAUAAUUAGGUAUAUUAAAUUAUUAUAAAUAAUAAUUAGCUAUACUAAUAUUUAAUUUUAAAAAUUUUAGAAUUGAAAUUUUAUUUUUUUUAUGUUCUAAAACAAUUAAGUAAUUUAUUUUUAAAAAAAUUAUGUAAUUGAAUUUUUGUUUUUUAGUAUGAGUAUCUCAUAAUCGAAAGUUUCAAGAAAUGAUUUUCUAUGAGAGUAUGUUAUUGAAGUCUCUGGAGAGAAGUAUGUAAGAUGCAAAUUUUGCAAUUAAAGCUCGAAGUACCGUGUUAUUUGAUUCAAAUUUUUGGUCUCAUGUUGCUUUUUGUAUAAAGACCACUAUCCCAUUGGUUAGUGUUUUGAUCCAAUAUUAGUGGAGGAGAUUGAUUCAACUGAAGAAUGGAUGGUGGAGAAAGAAGAUCCCCUAUUUCCACGUGAUGCUAUUUGACUUGAAGAUGAUGAAUUAUUUAAUGUUGAUUUCAUUAGAAUUGUGCCAUCACAAGUGGAGAAAAUUCAAGCCCCAUAAACUAAUAUUGUUUCUUCAUGCAUCAAAAGAAAACAUGAUGACUUUGCAAGUAAGUAUUAAAAAAUUAAAGUUAUAAACUUUAUUAAAUUUAAUCAUAAGUUGUAAUUUUCUACACCUACUUUGUACUUUAUGCUAGGUCAAAGUGGAAGCAAAAGGAAAGAAAAUGAGGUGAACUUGACACUAGUUGAUGAAGAUGAAAAAUCAAAUGUUAUAGGAGAAUUCGAUAGUGCAAGCUUUCCUAGUAUAAAUACAUUGGAUGAGGAUGAUGAUGAUAUUGGAGAAGAUGACUUAAAUUGAUACAUUUCAGUUAUAUGUAUUUGACUUAUGAUGGUUCUUUUCAUGACUUAAUAAGGUUUUUUGUUCAAGUGAUGAACUAUUUGGAUGGAUGGUUUUUCCAACUUAAAUUAACUUGUUACGAAAGUUUUUAGUUUUUAUAUUUUAUUUUCAUUUUUUAUAUAAAUUUUUUUAUAUUUUUAUAUAUUUAUUAAUUAUAAAAAUUAGGGUCUCAAAAAGCUUACGCCGAACAAAAACACCAUGCCUUAUGUUUUCGCAUUUAAAAACUUUGCUAUAUAUUGAAAAUUAUGCAUGGAACCAAAUUUUGAUAUUUUUACCCUUGAACUUUUUAUCCAAAGUAUUUGAUGAAAGAUAGAAGUUAAAAAGUAUUGAAGGGUAUUUUUUUUAUUUUUUAUUUUAGAAAUGUUAUAUGGAAGAAUGAAAAUAUUAGUUUUUACAAAUAAUUACAUAUAUAUCGAGAAAUAUCAAUAGAUAUUUUGAUACAAAAUAUCGGUCAAACAAACUUAAUCAAAAAAUUUUUAAAAAUAUAUAGAGAAAAUUUUAAAAAUGAUAGAAAAAGAAAUAAUACAUAUAUUUAAGUUGUUUUAUUGAACAAAUAGAUGUAUGUAUAUCAAAAUUAAUGAUAUUAAGCCUAGAAGAAUAUUAAUAUGAAAAUAAAAAGUUUAUUUCAUUAAAAACAUAUUGUAUUUCAAUAUUUACAAAUUAAAAUACAUUAUAUUUAUAUUUUGAAAUAAUUUUGUUGGAAGAUAUUGAGAAUAUUUUACUAAAAUAAGAUCUUAUUAUAAUCUACUUUUUAGAUGUAAUAAUAAAUCUAUUAUUUAUAAUAAAUUAAUUACUGCUUUGAAUUAUAUUUGGUAAUUAGAUUAGGAGUCAUGAUUAACAUAGAAAAACUAAAUAAAAUAACAAUCUCUAAUGUUUAUCAAAAUUUUAAAAUUCUUCUAAUUUUACUUUAAGUUCUAACACUCAUUUUAAAAAAAUUCAAAUUUUAUAAAAAAAAAAAAAAAAAAAAAACUCUAUAUUAAAAAUUCUAAUAAUAUUUAUGAUUUUUUUUUUUUUUUGCAAAAAAAUGGUCUUAAAUUCCAUUAAUAUAUUUAUAUUCAUUUAUUUUUUUUAAAAAAAAUAUGAAAACUACUUUUAUUAAAAUAUGUUUUAUCACAUUUUAAAUAAAAAAUUAAAUCAUUACUAAGAUUUAUAUAAAAUAUUUUAUUUGAGAUUUAAUUUUUAAAAUUUUAUUAAAAAUUUGUGGUGGCAAUUUUUUUCUAUUGAAAACAAUUUAUUUAAAUAAUUAAAGUUAUUAAAAAUUAUAUUAAUGAUUUAUCUUAUCAAAUUAAUUUUAAUUUAAAAUUAUAUUUUAUAAAAUAUUAGAACUUUAUUAAUUGUUUUAAUAUUUUAGUCAUUUUUGAUAAAUUUAUAUUUUUAAUAUUUUAAAAUAAAAACAUUAAAAAUUAAACAAAAUUAAAAGGAUAAGGAAAAAAAUCAAAAGUGAAGUGAUAAUAAUUUUUAAAAAUUGGAUUAAUGUGAUAAAUAUAGAAAAUAAUUAAAAAUAAAAUGGUAAUAUAAAUUUAAAAUCCAUGAGUCAUAAAUGUGACUUUUGAAUUCCGUUUAGAAAACACGGUGAAAUCCACCCUAGAUCAACUUGCUUUAAUUUCUAGUAGUAAGGGAAACACAUGGAAACAUCCACAAUUUUUUGAUAAAAAAAAACUCCAAAAAAGCGAAAUAUUGUUGAUUUUUUUCAUAUGAAAGCGGUUCCACUUUGACAAUUAAUCGAUGUUGGUUGAUUAAUCAUGGCUAUAUUGGCCAUACACAUCAAUUUUUUCUUAAGUUUCGGUUGUUGGAAGUUUCCACAUUGAAUUUCACUUCAAGUAUUUCCAAUAUUCGAUAGCUCCAUGAAAUAUUGACAAUUUUUCUUGAUAUCUCAAACCAUGGUUAUAUGUAUUCAUAUUCUCUUUUUUGUUCCACCCCUUUGUCUAAAAGGGAUGUAUGUAACAUUUUAUUUAUUUAUUUUAUUUUUGUCCGAAAGGGGUUAUAUUUUAUGUUUUCAAAUGAGGAAGAUCUUUUGGGAUUUAUGUUUUCAAUAGCACUUUUAAUUGAAUAACCCUUUAAAGUUUCAAGGGGAGGAUAAAAGAAAAAAUGACAAAAAGAAAAUGGAAAAAAAAUAAAAGGAAAAACAGGUGUACUUUGCAUAAAAAUAAAAUAAAAUAAAAGAAUUCUUUAAGACUGACCUUACAAGAUAAUGAUUUUUUAAAAUUGUUUAAAAAAUUUAAGGUAUUAAAAAAAAAUCUUAUUAUCUUUUAAAAAUUUAAAAAGCAAGUUUUAAAGGCAUAAGUAUGGACCUGUGUUUUUCACGUACGUCUCUACUCGAUGGUGAGAUUCACUUUUUAUUUGGUGAAAUUUUGAUUUUUUGAAAAAGACUUGGAGUCGCUACUUAUUUUUGUUUUAUUUUUAAAAAGAAAAAAAAAAAGAAAAAAUAAAAACUCUAAGUAUGACUAUGAAGAAAAAACAGGUCUAUGAGAAACUGAGUAUGGGUCCGGGGGUUAGAUUACCAAUUGGAAAUGUACGAUGGUCAGUCAUAGCACCCCUUUAAACCCGUAUAGAUAUGGUCUCUACUAAAAGAAAUUAAGAGAAUUGUGACAAUUAAUUAAUUAAUCAUGAAUACCAAUAUUAAAUGAAUGAAACAAUAUACACAAAAAAUAUGAUAAAAUAAAAUUACAAGAAUAUACAAAACAAAUGACAAUAGAAUUAUGCAAAUUGAUUUAUUAAACUAAUUAGAAAAAAGAUAUUUGAAAGAAUUAGUUUUCAAGAAAUUUCAAAUGAUUUUAUUAAAAACAAAUUUGAAUUAGUGAUUUCAAUUUAUUUAUUUAAAAAAAAUUCAAUUUAUUUUCUCAAUUUCAUUUGUAUUCAAUUUUCAAAAAAAAGAAAAGUUAUUUACACUUAUUGUAUCAAAAGAAUUUAUUACAAAAUUUCAAUUUAGUUACAAAAAUUAUUUUUACUUACUUUUACUAAAAAUUAAUGAAUUUUUACAAUUUUAUUUAAAAAAGUAUUUCGAUUUAUUUUCUUUUAAGAAAAGUGACUUAUACAAAUUAUUAAAAAUAAAAACUUUAUUUGCAAAAGAAUUUUUAAUUAAAAAGAAAAAAAAUAAAUCCUCUAUGUAGACCCCCUACCGGGGAGGGGUUUUUUUUGGCUUUUUUUUUUAUAUAUUUUUUAUUCUAUUAUAUAAAAAAAUAAAUCCUCUAUGUAACCUUCACGCUCACCCAUCUCUCCAGCCUUUUCCCAACCCCUCCAUCAAGAUUACUCUCCAUCAUCAGCCUAUUAAGGAAGCUGCAUUAGGAAACACUCCAACUAUUGCUUUCUGUGACGCUGAUUCCCCAAUGCAAUGCGUCGCACUAUUGCUCCGGGACCACACCGCCGCUGUUACUGCUCCGGGACCACGCCGCCGCUGCCAUAGCUCGCGACAACGCCGCCGUCUUCGCCUGGAAGGGUGAGAUCCUCCAGGAGCUGUUCUCGCACCACCGAGGCCCAAGAGCUGUCCACCAAGCCUGGAGAAUCCAUGACCCCGGGCACCGUCGCCGCUGUCACCACGGGGAGGUGGCGAAGGUGUAGCAGCCGGACGUGGGGAGGGGGGGGGGGGGGGGGGGGGGGGGGGGGGGGNNNNNNNNNNNNNNNNNNNNNNNNNNNNNNNNNNNNNNNNNNNNNNNNNNNNNNNNNNNNNNNNNNNNNNNNNNNNNNGGGGGGGUGGAAGCUAGGAAGAAGAUGAAGAUUUGGCUUUGGGCUUGGGUUUGAAUUUGGAGCCCAGGCCCAAGCCUAUGCUGGAGAUGGAGCCCAGAGCUCUUUUUAAUGUUGGACGUGGGCUUGGGCUUAUGGAUUGAGUUUUUUUUUUUUAAUGUUGGACGUGGGCUUGGGCUUAUGGACUUGGGUUUAUGAUAUUAUCACUAUUAUUAUUAUUAUUAUUAUUAACUAUUAUUAUUAUUAUUAUUAUUGUUAUUAUUAUUAUUACUAUUAUUAUUGCCAUUAUUGUUAUUAUUAUUAUUGUGAUUGUCAUUAUUAUCAUUAUUAUUAAAAAUCUAUAUUCUCGUAGUUUAAUCUCCUAAAGUUCAUCUCUUAUUAUUAUUAUUAUUUCAAACUCUCAAAAUCUUAUUAUUAUUAUUAUUAUUAAUUCAAACUUUCGAAAUCUUAUUGUUAUUAUUAUUAUUAUUAUUAUUAUCAUUAAUUCAAACUUUCAAAAUCCUAUUAUUAUCAUUAUUAUUAUUAAUUCACACUUUCAAAACCUUAUUAUUAUUAUUUUUAUUAAUUCAAACUUUCGAAAUCUUAUUAUUAUUAUUAUUAUUAUUAUUAUUAUUAUUAUUAUCAUUAUCAUUAAUUAGAACUCUCGAAAUCUUAUAAAUAUUAUUAUUAUUAUUAUUAUUAAUUCAAUCUCAAAAUCUUAUUAUUAUUAUUAUUAUUAAUUCAAACUUUUAUUAUUAUUAUUAUUAUUAUCACUAAUUCAAACUUUCAAAAUCCUAUUAUUAUUAUUAUUAUUAUUAUUUCAAACUCUCAAAAUCUUAUUAUUAUUAUUAUUAUUAUUAUUAAUUCACACUCUCAAAAACUUAUUAUUAUUAUUAUUAAUUCAAACUUUCAAAACCUUAUUAUUAUUAUUAUUAUUAUUAUUAAUUCAAACUCUCAAAAUCUUAUUAUUAUUAUUAAUUCACACUUUCGAAACCUUAUUAUUAUUAUUACUAUUCAUUCAAACUUUCGAAAUCUUAUUGUUAUUAUUAUUAUUAUUAUUAUCAUUAAUUCAAACUUUCAAAAUCUUAUUAUUAUUAUUAUUACAAAUUCAACUUUCAAAAGCCCAUAUUCUCGCAAAUCAAUUUCCUAAAGUUCAUUUCUCAUCUUCUUUGGCAAAUUUCAUUUUAAUUACCAAAGCUCUAAUCUUUUAAAUUUAAUUCCCAAUGCUCCAAUUUUCAAGUAAAUUCCAAAAAUCCAAUUUUCCUUCGAACAAUUUUAAUCCCUGUUUAGUGAUGCAUGUGAUAUGUUUUGUGCUCUAUAUGGUGUACUAACCCUUUCUAUUGAUAGCGCAUGGUGGUUCGUGGCCCAGAUAUGUACCCAUUUUCCCUCUAAUCGUUGUCUAUGCAUGUCUUGAUUCUUAUGAGUGCAUGAUCAUUCAGGAUAUUCAUUGAUUUACUCAUCAAUUGCCACGUCAGCUUCAUUUUAUUAGUAGAGACCCGACCUCUAGGGACUUAGAGGGGUGGUACGGUUAAUACCGUACCUUCCCGAUAAGUAACCUGACCCCCGAAUCCGAUCCGGUUUUUCAUAAAUCACCUUUUCCAAAAUAAGGAGUCACACUUAGGGUUUUUCUUUCUUAUUUUGUUUACCCUUUUAAAAAUAAAACAAAAAUAAGUGGCGACUCAAAGUCAUUUUUCUUAAUCAAAUAAAAAUCAAAAUUUCAAAUAAAAAUCGAGUUCGCCAUCAAGUGGGAAACUCAUGAGCCGAAAUGCGGGGUCCACAAAAUGGCGACUCCACUGGGGACCUUUUAGAGGGUCAAGCUUGAACUUAAAGUGAAGCAAACAUGGCGUUUGGUGAGUCGAUCAGUGGAUGCCCAUCUCUUGAUUGCACAUUGAGAGUUUUUGAUGCAUGCUUGGAUGUUAUAUCUAUUUGGGAUUUUGACAUGUUGAUUAUGUUGGCUUAUUUGUCUUGAUUGAGAUUUCCAAUACCAUGAUUUUAUGUGCUUCAUUGAUAUAUUCGUUUGAGACAUAGACGUGUUGGUUUGUUGUUGAUUGAUCGUCUUGUAUUGCUUAGCACAUUGACUCUGAUUUUGCCAUGAUUGUUCUAGUCACCUCACAUGCAUACACUCACCACUGUAUAUCAUUUGGUUGGAUAUGUUGAUUCAUUUGCUUGUAUAUUAUCUUGAUCGUCCUUUGAGCAUGUUGUUCAUAUCACUAUUUGUCUUGAUUGUCGUAUUCUCGCUUAUUUUGUGUGUACAUGGUGAUAUAUUUGAGCACUAUUUGAUUGUAUGUUGCAUGACUGCCAUUUUUUUGUGUGAUUGCAUGCCGCUUGUCUCUGUGGGUAGCACAUUUAUCCCCUUACCUCCCACCCU
rnacentral:lncRNA from 1 species